AUUGAACGCUGGCGGCAGGCCUAACACAUGCAAGUCGAACGAGUGGCAGACGGGUGAGUAAUGUCUGGGAAACUGCCUGAUGGAGGGGGAUAACUACUGGAAACGGUAGCUAAUACCGCAUACCAUCAGCGGUGCCCAGAUGGGAUUAGCUUGUUGGUGGGGUAACGGCUCACCAAGGCAACGAUCCCUAGCUGGUCUGAGAGGAUGACCAGCACCACUGGAACUGAGACACGGUCCAGACUCUUACGGGAGUCAGCAGUGGGGAAGAUUGCACAAUGGGCGAAAGCCUGAUGCAGCCAUGCCGCGUGUAUGAAGAAGGCCUUCGGGUUGUAAAGUACUUGCAGCGGGGAGGCGUUACCCGCAGAAGAAGCACCGGCUAACUCCGUGCCAGCAGCCGCGGUAAUAC
rnacentral:rRNA from 1 species